CAGAUCCAGGGGAGAUGAGACCACUGGAAACUCAAACCAGACAGCUCAGAGCAGGAAGAAGUGUUGAGGCCACCUUGAACCUAACCGAGGUCUGUACAAACGUUUCUAUAGAAAUGGAGUCAAUGGAGACAUCCUCAGCUCCAAAUUGCCUCCUCCAUCUCAGUGUUGAUAAUUAAUAAGGUCGUGUGGGUUGAAGCCUGGCCCUUAAAUCCUCCACAUCAUCAAGAUUCACAAAGAUCAGCUCCCAAAGUGAAGCAAGCGUCUCCCGAGGGUAGAAUCCAGCAUCCUGAAAUCCUGGCUCAGCACGAGGGGAUGUCAGCACCAGCUUCUGAAGAACUGAAGACCAGUCACUCCUCGAAGCCACCAUGGAACAUCUCUGGGCCAGACCCCAAGUUAGGUGCUGAACUUACAGGAGAAUCUGUAUCUUUUCCCUCUUGGGCAUCAGGAUCCUAGGAAACAGUGAG
rnacentral:lncRNA from 1 species